rnacentral:rRNA from 1 species
AUUGAACGCUGGCGGAAUGCUUUACACAUGCAAGUCGAACGGCAGCACGGACUUCGGUCUGGUGGCGAGUGGCGAACGGGUGAGUAAUACAUCGGAACGUGCCCAGUCGUGGGGGAUAACGUAGCGAAAGCUACGCUAAUACCGCAUACGAUCUAAGGAUGAAAGCGGGGGAUCGCAAGACCUCGCGCGAUUGGAGCGGCCGAUGGCAGAUGAGGUAGUUGGUAGGGUAAAGGCCUACCAAGCCGACGAUCUGUAGCUGGUCUGAGAGGAUGAUCAGCCACACUGGGACUGAGACACGGCCCAGACUCCUACGGGAGGCAGCAGUGGGGAAUUUUGGACAAUGGGCGCAAGCCUGAUCCAGCCACUCCGCGUGCAGGAUGAAGGCCUUCGGGUUGUAAACUGCUUUUGUACAGAACGAAGAGGCUCUGGUUAAUACCCGGGGCUCAUGACGGUACUGUAAGAAUAAGCACCGGCUAACUACGUGCCAGCAGCCGCCGUAA